rnacentral:rRNA from 1 species
GGCCUAACACAUGCAAGUCGAGCGGUAACAGAGAGUAGCUUGCUACUUUGCUGACGAGCGGCGGACGGGUGAGUAAUGCUUGGGAACAUGCCUUGAGGUGGGGGACAACAGUUGGAAACGACUGCUAAUACCGCAUAAUGUCUACGGACCAAAGGGGGCUUCGGCUCUCGCCUUUAGAUUGGCCCAAGUGGGAUUAGCUAGUUGGUGAGGUAAUGGCUCACCAAGGCAACGAUCCCUAGCUGGUUUGAGAGGAUGAUCAGCCACACUGGGACUGAGACACGGCCCAGACUCCUACGGGAGGCAGCAGUGGGGAAUAUUGCACAAUGGGCGCAAGCCUGAUGCAGCCAUGCCGCGUGUGUGAAGAAGGCCUUCGGGUUGUAAAGCACUUUCAGUCAGGAGGAAAGGUUAGUAGUUAAUACCUGCUAGCUGUGACGUUACUGACAGAAGAAGCACCGGCUAACUCCGUGCCAGCAGCCGCGGUAAUACGGAGGGUGCGAGCGUUAAUCGGAAUUACUGGGCGUAAAGCGUACGCAGGCGGUUUGUUAAGCGAGAUGUGAAAGCCCCGGGCUCAACCUGGGAACUGCAUUUCGAACUGGCAAACUAGAGUGUGAUAGAGGGUGGUAGAAUUUCAGGUGUAGCGGUGAAAUGCGUAGAGAUCUGAAGGAAUACCGAUGGCGAAGGCAGCCACCUGGGUCAACACUGACGCUCAUGUACGAAAGCGUGGGGAGCAAACAGGAUUA